rnacentral:snRNA from 1 species
AGCUUUGCGCAGUGGCAGUAUUGUAGCCAAUGAGGUUUAUCCAAGGUGUGAUUAUUGCUAAUUGAAAAAAUCCCCAUACAAUA